rnacentral:misc_RNA from 1 species
UAAUAAUAUGCCAUUCAUUCGGUCUUUGUAUAUCAUUCACUAGUAUUUUCUGAUUAAACAGCAUGCUUAGUUAAUUUUUGGUAUAAUUCCUGUAUAUUAAGUGAAUAUACAUAUGUUGCAGAAUAAUAAAUAAAAAUGUCUUCUACAACGUCCACCGCUAAAACUGAUUCAUUCGACGAAUUCUAUUGUGAGGUCAAAGAAAUAGAAAAACGAGAUUCGGUUUUAACUCCUGUGCAACAAAUUGAGAGAUUGCUGCGUCCCGGAUCAACUUAUUUUAAUUUGAAUCCCUUUGAAGUCCUUCAAGUGGAACCGGAUGUCUCCCUCGAUGAGAUUAAGAAGAAAUACAGAAGAUUGUCCAUUUUGGUGCAUCCUGACAAAAACAUGAUUGGAAACCGUGACGUGGCUGGGACAUCACGGCAUAGGAUAAUUCUGAACGAGCACAACAAGCAUUUGAGAUAGUUAACAGAGCAUGGAAGACCCUGGAGAAUGAUGAUACUAGGAAAAAAUGUCUGGACAUUUACGAAGAGGCUAAAGAAAGGACGGAUCACAUGAUAGAACAAAAAGGAAAAAGUUAAAGAAAGAGAACCGCCUAGCAGAAGGCAUCCCUGAAGAUGAUCCGGCCAAGUAUAAACAUGCUGUGUAUGUCAUGACCAUGAAGUUGUUUGCGGACAUGGAACGCAAGAGGCAGCAUCUCGAAGUGCGGGACAUGGAGGAGAGGAAGCGGAAACGGGAGGCCGAGAUAGAGCAAGAGGAGCAGAUGUCGCUCGAGAAGGAGUGGGCCAAAAACUUUGAGGAAUCGAGACAAAACCGCGUGGAUAGUUGGAAGAGCUUCCAAUCGACCAGCAAAGAGAAGAAAAAGAAGAAAAUCCAAGGUUUUAAACCACCCAAGCCUAAGCCGGAGAGCAGAUAACUCCACGCAAUAUUCAUGGUUUUAGAAUAAUUCGAUUUAGAGCUUUCAUUAGAAUCUAUCGAUUAUGUCGAUGUAGUUUUUAAGUAUUUGUUUUUUCUCGCGACAUAUAAUAAUGGUAUUCGUGUUAAAGUAUUAGAUAUAAUUAAUUAUAAAAGUCCAUAAAUUACAAUAUAAAUUUUUGAAAAUAGAAAAUAUUUUUUUGUGGUCAUAUUUAUUUUAAUAUUUUCUUGAUAUCUCAUGCCUGGCCAAAAUAUACUAGUUAGAUAUUUUGUUCAUGUAGACAAAUCAAAAAUAAAUUCAGCAUCUUUAUGAAAAGCUAUGAAGGUGUUAUGCAUCACGGUUACGAAUUGACUGCAUUCAAAUACGUCACCUAACAUGAUAAGUCAUCAUAUUUUGACAUCUAGAGCGAAUUAAAGCCUAAUUAGUAAGUAUUAUUAAAAACAUUUAAUAAAAAAAAAAUCACUUACCUUUUAAAGAAAAAAUGAAAUUAAAAAAAGCUAAUAAUCAUUUAAAAGUGACGUUUCUGAGUGCAAUAGUUAAUCUCAAUUUUGGUUUAAAGAGCGUUUUAACUUUACCAUUGAGUUGUUGAGCACAUUAAUUAAUAAUACGUGAUCGUACCAUUAUUUUAAUAUGUCCUGGCAUCCAUCAAUAUGGAUACCAUGCAAGUCUUUGUAAUUUGGAGCUCUGUAUUAUAUACAUACAGACGAGUGACUUCUCUCAUUGAGUUAGGUUUCCAGAUAUCUGACAUGAUAUUGAAUAAUUAACGAUGACCUAAGGGUCAUAUUGUAUUCAAUUUUUGUUACAUAAUAUUAGACAAUAUUAGCUAUGUCAAUGUUAAAAAAGAACAUUUAAGUUAACGCAUGAACAGUAAACAGUGCUCAUUAUAGAAGCAUUAUUUUAUGUAAAAUUUUAUUUAUGGUCGCAUUUUUUAUCCCCUUGCAGGGUUAAGGAAUCUCCACUCUUUCCACUGUUCCGUCUGAAAAACUAGUAGAGAUAUUAAGUAAAUUUCUUCACCUAUUCCUAUUUAUGCUUAGGGCCACACUAAAGUUCAUGUUUGAGGUCCAUUAUUGCAAAAAUUAAGACAUUAAACACCGUUUAUAUCAGACAAAUAAUAUAAACUGAUUCCCAACUAAUCGCAUUAUCAAGAUUUCUAAAGUCAUAGCCAUACUCGAGCUUGGCCGUAAUAAUGCGAUAAUUAAUGCCAUUAGACUUUAGUGUGGCCACAUCACAUAAACCAAACAUCCCACCCAAAAUGUCCAAUACAAUAAUUAUAAGUAGUCGUACAAUGUCCAUAGCAGUUUAUAAUUUGGACGAUAGGGAAUAUAGUGACAGAAUUUAUUCAAUUAUUUUUCAUAAGCGUGUUAUCGACUAAAAUCUAGGCUAUAAAUAAAUUAGUUGAUAUAAGCCACCUUCCUAAACUAGUUGACACGCCAACUAAGCCUUUCAUGUUAUGUAUUCCGCUAUAAUUACAUGUAAUAAACGGAGUUUAGAUUAGCAAGAAAACUUGCAGAAUAUUCCUCAAGCUAUUUUUAACGUGUAACGUUAUAGAAAUGUUGCAACUAAUAUGAACGCAUCAAGAAGUUCUUACACCUUGAUGGGUAAAAAUCCAAAAGAUUAAAAAUGUUACGCAAUAUAUUUCUGCGAAAACUUGCUAGUCUAAACUAAGUUUUAAAAAGUUAUUUUAGUCAUGGCGAAUGCUGAUUUUUUUUUAAAGGGGAAUUAUUUACUAAUGUGUAGCAAUUGAUAGUGCCUAUUUGACAAGUUUGCAAUAGUAAAGUAAUAUAAAUAUAUCUGAAAUUCUUCGCCAUUGUUACACCACUGACGAUAGAGCAUAGUUGAUACUUGCUAAACAUUAUAUAAAUGUUGCGUCAAUUCCGUGCGGUCUACGGUCCACUCCAAACGACAUCUUAAUACAACAAAGAUGAUUGUACAAAUUAUUUCAUUCAAACGUUAGCAAAUUUCUUAUUCUAAUUCAGUUUUGUAUAAAUUGAAUUUAUCAUUUAUACUUCGCCAUUUGCCAUAUCAACAUUAAACUAGAUUAGCAUAGCUCUUGGUCGAUGGAUACCAUCAUAGGGCAGUGAUAUAAAAUAUAAAUUAUAAAGCCUUAAUUGUGCAAGAGCUUGCGUGCAGUACACUGCCCCUAGCAGGAUUUUACGCGUUAUAAUAUCAUUAAUAUGGUUUCUUUUUAUAUAGAAAUUUUAACAACGCCCCUAUGAGCGUAUUUGGUUCAUAGUCAAGUAUGUCAUGUAUGGAAUACGGCAGCACGUCUUUUUGAGGUAUACUUAGUAUCGUUUUGACUGUAACGAAUACUACAAUAUGUAAACUUCUGCUAGAUAUAUAGUGAUGUCUUCACAUUUGCGUAUAAGUUUAAAACUACCUCUUUGAAAAUAGCAGCUUUUGAGCAUUGUUGCGUUUCCACUACUGAGACUGCGUGGAAGUCACUGCAUUCAGGCUACCUACCUAGUGAAUAUGUGGCGUCAAUUCACGUAGUUUUAAACUUUCACACAAGUACCACAUCAUACCAUAUAUGCAAGUAAGUGGACAAUGGAAACGCGGUUUAAGUGAUUCUCCCAUGUAUUAUGAAAAAAAAACUGUUGAAGGGACAUUUGCAGUUUCUAGUUGAGCGCUAGAUUCCACCCCCAUACAGUAGACAACAUAUUUCGAUGAAAUUGACCGUUUAUACUAAAUUGUAUGCGUUAUUUUUCGAAAUAAAAUACACCACUCUC